CGAACCUCUGGUGUACCGGUUGUCACGCCAGUGGCAUCGCCGGGUAGCUAUGUUCGGAAGAGAUAACCGCUGAAAGCAUCUAAGCGGGAAACUCGCCUUAAGAUGAGAUAUCCCUGGGGACUAGAUCCCCUUGAAGGGUCGUUCGAGACCAGGACGUUGAUAGGUCAGGUGUGUAAGCGCAGUAAUGCGUUCAGCUAACUGAUACUAAUUGCCCGUAAGGCUUGAUCCU
rnacentral:rRNA from 1 species